AGAGACAGCAGCCGCCGCGGGAAUACAGAGGGUGCGAGCGUUAAUCGGAUUUACUGGGCGUAAAGCGUGCGUAGGCGGCUUUUUAAGUCGGAUGUGAAAUCCCUGAGCUUAACUUAGGAAUUGCAUUCGAUACUGGGAAGCUAGAGUAUGGGAGAGGAUGGUAGAAUUCCAGGUGUAGCGGUGAAAUGCGUAGAGAUCUGGAGGAAUACCGAUGGCGAAGGCAGCCAUCUGGCCUAAUACUGACGCUGAGGUACGAAAGCAUGGGGAGCAAACAGGAUUAGAGACCCCCGUAGUCCCUGUCUCUUAUAC
rnacentral:rRNA from 1 species